rnacentral:rRNA from 1 species
UUGGUGGGGUAACGGCCUACCAAGGCGACGACGGGUAGCCGGCCUGAGAGGGCGACCGGCCACACUGAGACUGAGACACGGCCCAGACUCCUACGGGAGGCAGCAGUGGGGAAUAUUGCGCAAUGGGCGAAAGCCUGACGCAGCGACGCCGCGUGGGGGAUGAAGGCCUUCGGGUUGUAAACCCCUUUCAGCAGGGACGAAGCGAAAGUGACGGUGGGAGCAGAAGAAGCACCGGCCAACUACGUGCCAGCAGCCGCGGUAAUACGUAGGGUGCGAGCGUUGUCCGGAAUUACUGGGCGUAAAGAGCUCGUAGGUGGUUUGUCGCGUUGUUCGUGAAAACCAGGGGCUUAACCUCUGGCGUGCGGGCGAUACGGGCAGACUGGAGUACUGCAGGGGAGACUGGAAUUCCUGGUGUAGCGGUGGAGUGCGCAGAUAUCAGGAGGAACACCGGUGGCGAAGGCGGGUCUCUGGGCAGUAACUGACGCUGAGGAGCGAAAGCGUGGGGAGCGAACAGGAUUAGAUACCCUGGUAGUCCACGCCGUAAACGGUGGGUACUAGGUGUGGGUUUCCUUCCUUGGGAUCCGUGCCGUAGCUAACGCAUUAAGUACCCCGCCUGGGGAGUACGG